AGAUGGAGCUGCAAUCUGUUCAUGUGAACCUUGUCAAGAUUAUUAUCAGCCUAUCAGUGAAGAGCUACCCUUCAUUCGUAAGGAGCAGAUCAGCCUGGUUCUGAAAAGCAAGCAGCAGAUAUCAUUUACAACCAGGAUCUAAUGCAGCGAGGCUUCUGACGGAGAAAAUCAGGAGGCUUCUUCUCAUAUACUCUGCCCAGCCGGAGCAAAUGAGGAAAGCAGCCAGACGUGGCGGCGCACUGCUCUUGGGUUCUUCUACAGCGAUUGUUCUUGUGGAUGCGUCGGCUGGCGACCGGCUGCUGCAGUGCUGCUACUACACCUCCUGGUGCGUUUAUAUAUGCUGUGUAGGUUUGCAUUGGGCAGAAGUUCUUUGUCUGUAAUUGUGGUUUGAUUUGAUACUAAAUCGUUUGUAAGUGUGUCUGCAAGAGAAAUCAUCUUAAGCAUGAUAGAGAUAAAUAGUUUACAGAAAUCUAA